UACGUAGGGUGCAAGCGUUGUCCGGAAUCAUUGGGCGUAAAGCGCGUGUAGGCGGUUCGGUAAGUCCGCUGUGAAAGUCGGGGGCUCAACCCUCGAAAGCCGGUGGAUACUGUCGGGCUAGAGUACGGAAGAGGCGAGUGGAAUUCCUGGUGUAGCGGUGAAAUGCGCAGAUAUCAGGAGGAACACCUAUUGCGAAGGCAGCUCGCUGGGACGUUACUGACGCUGAGACGCGAAAGCGUGGGGAGCAAACAGG
rnacentral:rRNA from 1 species